rnacentral:rRNA from 1 species
GCAGUCGACGGUAACGGAAGAAGCUUGCUUCUUUGCUGACGAGUGGCGGACGGGUGAGUAAUGUCUGGGAAACUGCCUGAUGGAGGGGGAUAACUACUGGAAACGGUAGCUAAUACCGCAUAACGUCGCAAGACCAAAGAGGGGGACCUUCGGGCCUCUUGCCAUCGGAUGUGCCCAGAUGGGAUUAGCUAGUAGGUGGGGUAACGGCUCACCUAGGCGACGAUCCCUAGCUGGUCUGAGAGGAUGACCAGCCACACUGGAACUGAGACACGGUCCAGACUCCUACGGGAGGCAGCAGUGGGGAAUAUUGCACAAUGGGCGCAAGCCUGAUGCAGCCAUGCCGCGUGUAUGAAGAAGGCCUUCGGGUUGUAAGUCUUUUCAGCGGGGAGGAAGGGAGUAAAGUUAAUACCUUUGCUCAUUGACGUUACCCGCAGAAGAAGCACCGGCUAACUCCGUGCCAGCAGCCGCGGUAAUACGGAGGGUGCAAGCGUUAAUCGGAAUUACUGGGCGUAAAGCGCACGCAGGCGGUUUGUUAAGUCAGAUGUGAAAUCCCCGGGCUCAACCUGGGAACUGCAUCUGAUACUGGCAAGCUUGAGUCUCGUAGAGGGGGGUAGAAUUCCAGGUGUAGCGGUGAAAUGCGUAGAGAUCUGGAGGAAUACCGGUGGCGAAGGCGGCCCCCUGGACGAAGACUGACGCUCA